UCAUUUAUUCUCCUCAGUGCCCAUCAGGCCUUGUGCCAAGAAGCUUAAUACCUCUGAUUAGGACAGAAGAGACCCAGAAAGUGUCAAUGUUUAUAGAAAACUUCCUUCCAGGCAUUCUCCCCAGGGACCCUCCUCUCCAUCCUCUGUGCAACUACACACACACCUUUCUUGCAGCAAAAUUUGUCCCCACGAGCCCCUUUCCCGGACAUAAUGUCUCAUCCUCUCUCUCGGAGGAGGGCUUUCCCAGCUUUGCUCCUCGUCUCUGAAAAAUGCACACAAACCUUGAUAUUUGGAGAGUGGGUACUGCUACGGUAGGCAAAUGACAUGAGCCAGCACUGGAAACCAGGUGAAGGCCCAACAGCAUUUCCACAAUGGAAGCAUGAGGGAUAGCGAUUAUCAUGAGUUCGUGAGUUCCAAGCUCAGCAGAAAGUGGUCACAGCUGUCUGCCCUCCUGAGGGGUAGUGGGUGCCAGGCCUGGGUACCUCACGUGGGCAUGGUGCAAUCAGUGCAUUAACCCUUGGACUGAUCAAAGAGAAAGAAGAGUUUCUGGAGAACAUACAAGGAGGUCAUGAAAAAAAAAAUCUCCAGGAUGUAGGAUGCCACUACAGAGAAAGAAAACUUAAAUUAAGAGCAUGGGUUAUAGAGACAUCAUAUACCAAUGGGAGAAAGAUAAAAAACCUCUGCUCAGGAUACAUUUGUUUCCUGCACCCUAGCUUCCUUAUGCUGCCUCCUUGCCAUUUCUCCAGACAUACUCCUCUCCCAUACUACAGCAAGUAGGAGGGUUGAGGAGUGAACAAACAGAACGAGAAUUCUGUCCAACCUUUGAUGACCUGUUAUGGGCGGAACUGUAUCUCCCCCAGAAUUCAUACGUUUCAAACCCAACCCCCACUACCACAGAAUGUGACUCUAUUUGGAGACAGGGCCUUUAAAGAGGUAACCAAGGUGAAACAAGCUCAUAUGGCUCCAAUCCAAUAGGACUGUAUCCUUAUUAGAAGAGAUGAGGACAUAGAUACACAUAGAGAGAUGACCACGUAAGGACACAGGUGGAAGGCACUUAUCUGCAAGCCAAGGGGAGAGGCCUCAAAAGAAACCAAACCUGCCAACACCUUGAUCUUGGUCUUUGGUCUUGAGAAUAGUGAGAGAACACAUUUCUGUUGUUUAGGCCUCCCAGUUCAGCAGCCAAAGCAGACUAAUACAUAACCGUAACCCUCUCCCAGCCCUUCACACACCUUAUACGCCUUCUGUGCUUAAUCACAGUUCCUUGAGCUCACCAUGCAGUCUCCUCCUCUAAACACUUGCACAGGCUGUUCCCUCUGCUUGGAAUGUCCUUCCCUCCCCCUUUCUUCAGCGGGCUCACACCUACUAUUAUCUUAAGAUCCAGCUAGUGUCACCACCUCCAGGAAGUCCUCAGAGAAUACUCUCUAACUGCCUUCUGACUCCCUCCCACCUGCUUCCCCUCCCCACCUGAGCCAGCCUCUGCACAACCUAGCGUGGAUCCUAUUGUGGAGAGCUCUCACUGUGCUUCUCCCUCAUUAGCCUUUGGUUGGUGUCUUUCAUUUCUAUAUUUUUGCCUCCUAAAAGAGCCAAGCUCAGAGUGGUCAGUAACUGUGAGGGAGAGAACAAACAAGUGAGGACACAAGAAGAAGAAACCCUUCCUCACUGGAGCUGCCCAAUAGCCUACCACACCCCCUAUCCUGUACCCAUAUAAAUCCCAAACUCCAGGAUCCACGAGCAAAGAGCAAAGGAGCAGAAGAGCUGCACAACAGAUGAGAGAAGAGAAGGAGCAUCUGAACAUCAAGAGGAGUUCAGCUGGGGACAGUUGGAGAGAAGAUCGGCUGCUGGAUGGCUGAACUCCAGGGGAAGAUAAUUCUUUCCACUCCAUCCCCUCUCCAGUUCCCCAUCCAUCCCGCUGAGACCCACUCCCAUCUGGCAGUACAAUUUCCCACAUUUACCAUCCUUAAA